rnacentral:lncRNA from 1 species
UGAGUUCUCAUCUUUAUAAGUUACCUAUUUCAAAAACUGAGUUGAUAAAAUAUGCCUUCAUACACAUUACUUGCGUUGAUAAGUUACCUAUUCCAAAAACUGAGUUGAAACCAUUACAUCAUGUAUAUGUGAAAUAUGCCUUCUCCACCAAAUUGGGAAUUAAGACAUGAACCACCAAUUCUUCAUACACCAACUCACAUGUCAGAGACUGAACAAUGAAUACAUAAAAAAAUUUCAUCCUGGUCAGAACCUAGACAUCAUGUUGCAGCUUUUGAGCCAUUUCUUCAUAGUAAGAAGCUGCUUGGUUUACCACAUAUUCCACUUUUGAAUUGCUGUUGUGAGUUAAAAGUGUGGAGCAUAUUUCAAUCCUCAAAUCCAUUAGCUUUGCCACUUUGUCUUGCUUUUUGAGUUUGUUCCAAUUUUUGAAAGAGUCCAUUGAGGUCUUAUUGUCACCUUCCCAUUCAGCUAGGAACUUCAUGCAGAAAACUCCACAAUUGUCUUUGUCUGGUUGACUUGGCAUUUUGGGAGUUUCCCACUUAAAUUUGUUGAAGUCGAAAGGAAUUGUCAGUUUCUAAUGCUUAUACAAUUCUAUGACAAAUGCCUCGACUUCCUUAAACCAGACAUCAAACAUCUUCUUGU